AACUUCACACGCGGGGGCUCCCACGGAACCGGGGGCUGAGAUGGCGACAGGCGGUCGUCGACCGCCUGAACCUGUCCGGAUAAUGCCGGCGUAGGGAGGACGAAUCAUGGGUAC
rfam:Gordonia sp. QH-11, complete genome.